UACGUAUGUCGCAAGCGUUAUCCGGAAUUAUUGGGCAUAAAGGGCAUCUAGGCGGCCAGACAAGUCUGGGGUGAAAACUUGCGGCUCAACCGCAAGCCUGCCCUGGAAACUGUCUGGCUAGAGUGCUGGAGAGGUGGACGGAACUGCACGAGUAGAGGUGAAAUUCGUAGAUAUGUGCAGGAAUGCCGAUGAUGAAGAUAGUUCACUGGACGGCAACUGACGCUGAAGUGCGAAAGCCGGGGGAGCGAACAGG
rnacentral:rRNA from 1 species